ACUGCAUCAAACCUGUCAUCAACAAAUGAGGAAACAUUGCCACGGGGCAUACUUCAAGAUUACACUGUGGUAGUUCUCUAAUGCACCUGUAUGCCUAGAAUCAAACAUGCAUCAUGACCAUUGGACUAGAAUGAAUCUCAAAACAAUCUUCCUGAGAAAUUUCAUUGCUUGAGAAUCUACUCCGAGAGGUGUCUUUGCAGUGUCAUUGAUAUCAGCUUCUGUCAAUUCACUGUGGUGGCAUCUACCAGUGGCCCAGGUAUGCUCACCAGAGACGUGAUGCAGCACUCCUAUCCAGAUGGCCUGCAAUGAAAAAUUGCAUAUCUCAGAAUGAGGAGUCUGUGACUUUCUAGUCCUUACAUAUACUGCUCUUGUUGAUUAAUAAUUAAUUGAUGAAAUAGUAGGUUUUUGCCACCUACUGUGUGAUAUAAUAUCUCAUUUAGCUAGCAAACACAAGACAACUACACUGGAGCGGUGUUGACAUUGAUUCAUGCCCUAGCUUGAUAUGAGUUUGGGUAUUGCUGGUGCUAAGUGAUGUCUUCUUCUGUUUUAUUUUAAUGCGUAAAAAAA